CCUACGGGAGGCAGCAGUGAGGAAUAUUGGUCAAUGGACGAGAGUCUGAACCAGCCAAGUAGCGUGAAGGAUGACUGCCCUAUGGGUUGUAAACUUCUUUUAUAUGGGAAUAAAAUGUUCCACGUGUGGGUUUUUGUAUGUACCAUAUGAAUAAGGAUCGGCUAACUCCGUGCCAGCAGCCGCGGUAAUACGGAGGAUCCGAGCGUUAUCCGGAUUUAUUGGGUUUAAAGGGAGCGUAGUUGGCUUGUUAAGUCAGUUGUGAAAGUUUGCGGCUCAACCGUAAAAUUGCAGUUGAAACUGGCAGUCUUGAGUACAGUAGAGGUGGGCGGAAUUCGUGGUGUAGCGGUGAAAUGCUUAGAUAUCACGAAGAACUCCGAUUGCGAAGGCAGCUCACUGGACUGCAACUGACACUGAGGCUCGAAAGUGUGGGUAUCAAACAGGAUUAGAUACCCCUGUAGUC
rnacentral:rRNA from 1 species